UAGUGUGGAGAGCACUGCAAGCGUUUGAUGUCACCCACUCUGGACUGGUGUCACAGGAAGACCUGAGGGCCGUCCUCAGCAGCUUCCUGUUUCCCAUGAGCCUCAGCACCUUCCAGAGCCUGACCUGCCGUUUUGGGGUGAGAGCAACAGGGCCUGUCAAAUGGAAACCGUUCCUGGGUCAGUUUCAGGGUCCAGUCACAGAGGAGGACUACACCACUCCUCAAACAGAGAGGGUUCCAGAGCUACCUGACGCAGAGGAGGGCCAUCGGAGUCUGACAGAGUUCUACCCUAUACUGAAGAGAGCCUUUAAACAGUUGGACAG